GCGCGAAGAUCGCAACCGCUCAUCUCCUGGCGAGAUUUUGAGCUAGAAUGUCCAGCUAUCGCGGCUUCCAUGGCCAAUGUGGUGGUCAUCUCCAGCGCCUCGAGGAACGCUAGCUCUUCCAGAGAGAUUUCCAAGGAGAGGAGCUACAAUGCAAAGAGAUUGUCCCUGGCUGGGCCGCUGGCAGCCAUUUCGAUCGCUAGCGCCACGAUCGCGACGCCCUAUUGUGCUCUGGCCGAGUUCCUGAGUUACGAUCAUGCUAGCAUGCGCGGCGCGGAUCUUUCAGGACAAGACCUUAGAGGCGCUGUCUUCGCAGCUUGUGACUGCAGAAAGAUCAAUCUGAGAGGAUCAAACCUCGACAGCAGCACUGAUACUUUUGCGGGAUUCGAAGGUGGUGAUCUUCAAGACACAAGCUGGGUGCAAGCCUUGGCUGAUCGGGUCGUGUUCCGAAUGACGAAUCUACAAAACGCAAUCUUCACGAAUGCGAUACUGACUGGUUCACAGUUUGAUGGCGCAGAUAUCACUGGAGCCGAUUUCACAGAAGCAAUCCUGGACAACUACCAGCGUCUCAAGCUUUGCAAGCGAGCAACAGGGACGAACUCGAUCACUGGCGUUGAGACACGAGAGAGCCUCGCUUGUUCGUAGUCACACAAAGCAGUAACUUUCGACUCUUUGUCUGUCGAUCUCGAGGAUCAGGAAAAGUUAUUUCGAAAAAAGAAAAAGGGAGUGUUGUAUUUGUUUUAACUCCUUUGGAAGCUUAGUAUGGCUAGCA